ACGGGAGGCAGCAGUGGGGAAUAUUGGACAAUGGGGGAAACCCUGAUCCAGCGACGCCGCGUGAGUGAAGAAGUAUUUCGGUAUGUAAAGCUCUAUCAGCAAGGAAGAAAAUGACGGUACUUGACUAAGAAGCUCCGGCUAAAUACGUGCCAGCAGCCGCGGUAAUACGUAUGGAGCAAGCGUUAUCCGGAUUUACUGGGUGUAAAGGGCGCGUAGGCGGGAAGGCAAGUCAGAUGUGAAAUCCAUGGGCUCAACCCAUGAACUGCAUUUGAAACUGUUUUUCUUGAGUGCUGGAGAGGUAGACGGAAUUCCUUGUGUAGCGGUGAAAUGCGUAGAUAUAAGGAAGAACACCAGUGGCGAAGGCGGUCUACUGGACAGUAACUGACGCUGAGGCGCGAAAGCGUGGGGAGCAAACAGGAUUAGAUACCCUGGUA
rnacentral:rRNA from 1 species